rnacentral:SRP_RNA from 1 species
GCCGGGCGUGGUGGCGGGCGCCUGUAGUCCCAGCUACUCGGGAGGCUGAGGCAGGAGAAUGGCAUGAACCCAGGAGGUGGAGCUUGCAGUGAGCCGAGAUUGUGCCACUGCACUCCAGCCUGGGUGACAGAGCCAGACUCCGUCUCAA